rnacentral:rRNA from 1 species
UACGUAGGAUGCGAGCGUUAAUCGGAAUUACUGGGCGUAAAGCGUGCGCAGGCGGUCUCGUAAGAAAGGUGUGAAAUCCCCGGGCUCAACCUGGGAACUGCGCUUGUGACUGCGAGGCUGGAGUGCGGAAGAGGGAGGUGGAAUUCCACGUGUAGCAGUGAAAUGCGUAGAGAUGUGGAGGAACACCGAUGGCGAAGGCAGCCUCCUGGUCCAGCACUGACGCUCAUGCACGAAAGCGUGGGGAGCAAACGGG